rnacentral:rRNA from 1 species
CGGCGAGUGAAGCGGCAACAGCUCAAAUUUGAAAUCUGGCCCCCAGGGCCCGAGUUGUAAUUUGCAGAGGAUGCUUUUGGCGCGGCGCCUUCCGAGUUCCCUGGAACGGGACGCCAUAGAGGGUGAGAGCCCCGUCUGGUCGGACGCCUAGCCUGUGUAAAGCUCCUUCGACGAGUCGAGUAGUUUGGGAAUGCUGCUCUAAAUGGGAGGUAUAUGUCUUCUAAAGCUAAAUACCGGCCAGAGACCGAUAGCGCACAAGUAGAGUGAUCGAAAGAUGAAAAGCACUUUGAAAAGAGGGUUAAACAGUACGUGAAAUUGUUGAAAGGGAAGCGCUUGUGACCAGACUUGGGCCCGGUGGAUCAUCCAGCGUUCUCGCUGGUGCACUCCGCCGGGUCCAGGCCAGCAUCAGUUCGCCGCGGGGGAGAAAGGCUUCGGGAACGUGGCUCCCACGGGAGUGUUAUAGCCCGUCGCACAAUACCCUGGGGCGGACUGAGGUUCGCGCUCCGCAAGGAUGCUGGCGUAAUGGUCAUCAGCGACCCGUCUUGAAACACGGACCAAGGAGUCGUCUUCGUAUGCGAGUGUUCGGGUGUAAAACCCCUACGCGUAAUGAAAGUGAACGCAGGUGAGAGCUUCGGCGCAUCAUCGACCGAUCCUGAUGUUCUCGGAUGGAUUUGAGUAAGAGCAUACGGGGCCGGACCCGAAAGAAGGUGAACUAUGCCUGUAUAGGGUGAAGCCAGAGGAAACUCUGGUGGAGGCUCGCAGCGGUUCUGACGUGCAAAUCGAUCGUCAAAUAUGGGCAUGGGGGCGAAAGACUAAUCGAACCUUCUAGUAGCUGGUUUCCGCCGAAGUUUCCCUCAGGAUAGCAGUGUUGAACUCAGUUUUAUGAGGUAAAGCGAAUGAUUAGGGACCCGGGGGCGCUUUUCAGCCUUCAUCCAUUCUCAAACUUUAAAUAUGUAAGAAGCCCUUGUUGCUUAAUUGAACGUGGGCAUUCGAAUGUAUCAACACUAGUGGGCCAUUUUUGGUAAGCAGAACUGGCGAUGCGGGAUGAACCGAACGCGAGGUUAAGGUGCCAGAGUAGACGCUCAUCAGACACCACAAAAGGCGUUAGUACAUCUUGACAGCAGGACGGUGGCCAUGGAAGUCGGAAUCCGCUAAGGACUGUGUAACAACUCACCUGCCGAAUGUACUAGCCCUGAAAAUGGAUGGCGCUCAAGCGUCUCACCCAUACCUCGCCCUCAGGGUAGAAACGAUGCCCUGAGGAGUAGGCGGACGUGGGGGUCG